rnacentral:misc_RNA from 1 species
GAGAGAUUCAUUUUAAUAUGCAAUUCCAAUUCAUAGACACAAAUUUCACUGUUUUUUGAUGAAGUGUUCAGAUCUGUAUCACUUGAUUCUAGUUAUGGAUCAGAUCAACAAUUACAAUACAUACAGCAACAUAGUUUUGCAAUGAAUGAUAAAUUUGUUACAGUGGGUUUCAUUUCUAUCGAAUCCAACAACUGAACACAACUCUAUAUGUAUUCCUAUUUAAAAAGAUUUAUGUAUAAAAUUUGGAACAUUUCACGUACAAGAUCAUUGCAUUUUCUCCUGGCAGCAGACGUGACACAGCCCUAAGAGUUUCAGUUUUGCCCAGAAUGUCUUGUAGAAAUCUGAGUGUCCACCACUUUUGCUUCAUGCUUUCUCUUACCUCUGGGCUUUGAUCUGGAUGAUCGGGUCUUUGUUUGCUUAACAGUGUGCUCUGGGAUGUUUAUCACUGCCUUUUCAGUAGAAGGU